AUGGGGUGCAGCAGGCGAGAAAACUUUGCAAUGUGCGAAAGCACGACAAGGUUAAUCCGAGUGGUUUCUGCUAAAGGAACCUUUUGACAGUCCUAAAAACACUGUUGAAUAAGGGGUGGGCAAGUUCUGGUGUCAGCCGCCGCGGUAAAACCAGCACCUCAAGUGGUCAGGAUGAUUAUUGGGCCUAAAGCAUCCGUAGCCGGCUCUGUAAGUUUUCGGUUAAAUCUGUACGCUCAACGUACAGGCUGCUGGGAAUACUGCAGAGCUAGGGAGUGGGAGAGGUAGACGGUACUCGGGAGGAAGUGGUAAAAUGCUUUGAUCUCUCGAUGACCACCUGUGGCGAAGGCGGUCUACCAGAACACGUCCGACGGUGAGGGAUGAAAGCUGGGGGAGCAAACCGGAUUAGAUACCCGGGUAGUCCCAGCUGUAAACUAUGCAAACUCAGUGAUGCGUUGGCUUAUGGCCGGCGCAGUGUUGCAGGGAAGCCGUUAAGUUUGCCGCCUGGGAAGUACGUACGCAAGUAUGAAACUUAAAGGAAUUGGCGGGGGAGCAC
rnacentral:rRNA from 1 species